GUGUUCAACUUCUAGUAGUAGCGUGUAUAAUGCAUAAACUCAAAGCUCUUGGUAUGCCUAUACGAUCAAGAAGGAAAAUGGAAGAUCGAACUAGACCUAGCUGCAAUUCUCAUCAUGGAACAUAUAUACUCUUGCUUCUGAAAUUCGGACUCUCACAUCUUGUCCCUGAAGAGCAUGUGUGAAGAAUUUGACACUAGUACAAGACAUGUACUGAAAACAACAACAACAACAACAAGUGAUGGGCGGAUCUACGUUCUGUAAGAAGGGGGCAGCUGCCCCCAGUAAAAUCUACAAAGAAAUUUAUGUGCACGGGAAAUACUAUACUUUCAACAGCUUAAUUGGUUCCAAAUCUUACUAUGUCCCCUCCCCAUACCACGUUUCAAUCUUCCGCAUGUCCCCAUUUACUCAAUUUUCUAUAGCUUAUCUUCGGUUUAUUAUUUUUUUUUUGUCUACAUGUAUUGCCUUUCUUUACUCACGUAUUUUAGGGGGUGGUAUUGAAUUCAAGAAUUUGAAAGAAUUCACAUGUAAUAACUUUUGCAGUAUUUUAAAUGAUUUUAUGAGAUUUUAAUGCAAUUGUCUAAUUCUUAUGUUUACUUUUUGCCAUAGAAUUUAAGUGAAUGUAAAUUAAUUUGAUGGAAUUCAAAUGGUAAUACUAACGCUAUGAAUGAUAACGAAAAAAUACACAACUAGUAGUUAACUCUUAGAUAUUUUUUUACCAAAAUAAAACACUUGGGAAAAUUUUACUUUUUGUAGAUAGAUUUUUUUUACUAAAGGAAUCUUUUUGGGUGAACUAGCCAUGGGCAUUCGGGUUGAGUGAAACUGAUGACAUUUUAUUUUAUAUCAAAGUGUUGAAACUUGUUUUUUCGGAUAUUCGGGUACCGUUCGGUUCUCGGUUCGGUUUCGUUUCCGAUUCGGUUAUUCAGAUAUAGAAAUAUAGAAACCAUUCAGGUAUUUGAGGCGGUCCGGUUUUGGUUUCGAAUAAUUUGGUUUGGUUCUAGUUCAGUUUUUCGGUUCCGGUUUUGGAAGAAGAGAGACAUGGAAUUGGGCUGGUGUAGGUGAUAUGUCUUCUAAAGACGUAGUGGGUUACCGUGAGGUCAAAUUGGUUCUAAAAAUAACAAAUCCCUUCAUAAAAGCAAGGAAUUGAUCCUUUGCAUUUUACAUUACAUUUUCCAUUAAAUUCCUUUCAAAUAACAUUCCUAUUAAAUCUAGCAAAUAUUGAAUAACACUAGAAUUUAAAUGAAUUGGUAAAAUACGCAAUUGAAUAACACAAGAAUUUAAAAGAAUUGAUAAAAUACACAAUUGAAUAACACUAGAAUUUAAUGGAAACCAUAAUUCCUUCAAAUUCUAUCAAAUUUCUAAAUCCAAUACCCCCAAGUCUCCUUAGUCUUUUUAUUCUUUUUUUAAUUCAAAACCAAAUUUGUAUUUAAUAUUUUGUUUCAUUUAUAACAAAGAGAUAGUUGGUUUCAUUUUAUCUUCUUCCUUAUAUUAUAUAAAAAACUUUACUCUAAACAAUUUCAGUAGUUUUUUAUAUAGCAUUAUCAAAUAUAGAAUAAUAUAUAUUUAUUAAUUUAAUAUUAUUUAUUUUUAUUUGUCUCCACUCAAAAUAGUUUCUAAAUCUGCCACAGAGUCAACAACAAGACGGGGAGCAAUCUUGACGUGAAGAAAAUAGAUUCAAAGAAUACCAAAAGGCUUUUUGUGUGUGUGUGCGCGACAGUUAGAUCUUUUGUCGCGUCCUGUGUGAUAAGGUUAAUUAUAAUCAUGGGUCUCCUAGCAUUUUUAAUGUCUGGGUGUGACCGGUAACCAUCGUAAAAACAAUAGGAAUGAUAAGAAAAUAAUAAGUGGGAAUAAAAUUUUAGAAAUGAUGAAGAAUUCUGGUUUUUUAUCAAAAUUAAUGAGAAAUUGAUUUGUUCUAUAAUUCUCUACAAACAAAUGAAUGAAGAUAAAUGAAAAGAAAAACAUAUUACUUAUGAAUGGUAAAAAGUUUAACGAAUGUUAAAAAACAUAAUAUUUAUCCUCAUUUUUUUGGUCACCGGUCACACACAGGAGGACAUAGUGUUCCUCAUUAUGAAUGGUAAAAAGUUUCACAAUUCACAUCAUCAGCAACAACUUGGAACAUCUCUUAUACUGUGUAUAACAGUUUGUGUACUCGAUGAAUGGUUGCAAGGUCGUAUUAUUGAUUAGUAAACUUUUCUCAUUUAUGAUCAAAAGUCUUGUAAAAGAUGGAAUUUUAGAACAAUAAUUUUCUUUUUUGGGUCAAAGAUAUGGUUUUUUCUUUUCAUUUAAAGAUGAUUUGUCAAUUUCUCCUUUUUGGAUUAGUGGAAAAUUCUUUUUCGAAUGGUAAGGUUUACAGUUAUUUUCCUCACCUAAUCAGACUAUCAAAUUACCAAAUGUGUUUAUGCCCCUGAUUGCAGUUUCAACGGUUUUAUUUAUGACGCUAUAUAUUAAACACGUAUAUGCUUCCUCUACAAUAUACAAAAUGUCAAAGAUAGAGAAUCAAGCUGCUAAUAUGCUGUCAAGAAAGUCUUAUGAUGAAGAAUCAAUAUUUUUUUUUCUUUGUAUGUAUUCCAUUACAUCUCUAGAAUAUGGGAAGUUAGAAAAAAACAUAUAUAUAUAUAUAGCCAGGACAAGUCUCAAAAUAUCACAUGAUUUGAUUUGUAUAAUUGCCAUCAAAAUUCAAAAAGGCCACAUAAAUUAAGUUUACUGAAGGUUGAAUUUGUAUAGGAAACGUCAUUAUUUACUAAAUUUAUGGUAACUAACUAACUAUCUAUCUAUACUAAUAAAGUUGGAUUUAGUCUCUCUUUAUGCUGCCACAUCAUCAAUAUGCAUAGGAAAUUUUUACCACGUGUCACUUCAUUAAAUCUUCAAAGAAAUCGAUUUUUUUCCAUUCUGAAAAACAUCUCGAAACCCAUUAUGGGCUCUACAACACGAAGACUUCUGUUCGGGCCUAUAUCAUGUUGUUUUCCUAGGCUCAGGUUUUGUGUAUGAGCUUACGAUCCCUUUUCCGCUUCCUGUAAUCCAACAUUAGGGUUUCUGUAAUCCAAGAGCUUACCAUCCCUCUUCCACUUCCUCGGCCAAGUAACGCUCGGGACUUAUGUCAUUCAAUGAGGAAAACCUAAAAAUCCCAUGAACUCGUCUUCAUUGCUGCCUUUAUUUGUUGUUCAGCAGAUCUCUUCACCAUCAAUAUAUAUUUUCGACGUAGCCUCCCUGUUUCCCAUAGUUUCCACCUAUUACUUCUGGACUGAAUCUCUCAGACAAGAUCUUCAAAAAUGGCAACUUCCAGCUACACCUUUCUGAGUUGAAGACACACCAGUGAAAAGAUAUUGUUCAGACGAGACUUCUCCGUUUUUGGGCGUCUCAGAAUGUGAAGAAAGGAGGUUAAUUGAUGAGCGUGGAUAUGCUACUGCUUGAUGCCAAGGUAUUUUUUUUAACUGAGAUCUUUUUUAAUUAACUACAUUAUUAUCGAAGUUGUGUUCAAGAUGUUGUCUAGGUAACUUGCUUUCUUCUCUGGUGACAGUGGUUCAGGGCUUCAGGCAUCGAUAAAUGUAUAUCGGUUGAACAACUUCUAACACUUAUUGACUGAAGGGUCUGUUUAUGAGCUGGGUGCUUUUGAUGUAACAAGAAGCAACCGGGAAGUCUUUAUGGAGAUAUCCGAAACAGUUCAAACCAAUCCCGAUGGAGCACUUCAGAUUUAUCAGGUUAAAUUUAAAUUCACACUUUUAAUACUUCUCAAUAUAUUAUUUUGAUAUAAGACUUACUAGCUUUGCGUAUGUUUCUACCACAUAUAUUGUUGGGCAAGUAAAGGGGACUAGAACUUCAUACAAUAAAAGAGACUCAGAGUACAACGCAUCAUGAUUACCAUAAGCAUCAAAAGGUAUAAACUCAUACAUUUUUUUUUCUAUUAAAGUUUAGCCAACUUUCUUUAUCAUGCAACUAGCUCCAAUUCUUAAAUAUAUAGUAUGCUCAUCUAUACUGAAAAGUAAUAUUCUAGCUGUCUUCACUAUUUCGUGAUUUGGUAUUACUAUAUACAAACUGCUUUUGGACCAAAGCAAAUCAACAUCAUAUCAUAUGUAUGUUUUAUGGAUAAACGUGGGACCAUCUCUAAAUAAAACUCUCAGUCUUACGAAUGCAGGUUCCAAAUAAUUAAUGAGCAUUAUCUCUGUAGAACCCAUACAUUUGUAUAGAUUAUACGUUCCUUUCUUAAUAAAUAAUUUGAGCUGUCAUCCUAAAUUAUAAUUUGAUCUUAUCUUCUCCAAUGCUUCAAGCAAAUUUAGAAAGCAACUAGGUCCAUGCAUUGGCAUGUAUAAAAAAAUUUGUAACUGUCGUUCCAGGAACUCAAAUGUAUGCGUAAGUGCGUUUGAAGGAUUGGUAAAAGCCCUUGAUGAAAUGAGAAUUUCUGAGUAGGAGUAUUGAACCGAAGGUGGUGGUUGCCACAAACUUCAACCUCAAUUGGGAGUAAAAAAUUAACCACCAUUUCUUAAGCAUGAUAUAGCUGGUCUUAAAAUGUUAAUUGACUCAAGCUCUUUUUCAGGUCGGCUCUUCCUGAAUGCAACCUCUGCAAUCCAUUUCUAUUUUAAUAAUGAGAGUGGUGCAGGUAAAAGUUAUCUUGAGAGGACAUGUGGCAUUGGCAAAGGCUCGACCUCCGGCCCUACAAAAUAUGGGGGUGUUAAGAAGAUUGAGUUAAUAACGGUAGCAGAGCUUAAUGACCGUCAUGAAAUCUCCACCGCAGUCAGAAGAAUUCAUUUGCACUGGCGUUGUAAGUUGAAUCAACACAUCAAAUGGAUGGCGCUACAUUUCUUGUUCCAAGUGCUACCGAAAAUUGCAGUGUGAGUUUACAUCAGUCACAUGGGCUUCCUGUAAUGAGGUGAAUGCUGUUGGAGUCAUAAGGUACCAUGUGCAAAUGACUGUUUGGUGCAACCGACACUAACACAUUUGCAGCUUUUGACACUGAAAUAACUAAACUGACCAAUAUCCGGCCUGCAGACGUCUCCCACCAGUAGGCUACAGGUCCACAAGACCCACAUGAUUGGACCUUCCACAAUGCUUACAGGAGAUUGUUGGGCGAACUUUAACCUUCUAUUUAAACCUAUCUCACUUCAACUUCACUGCAAAAUAACAAAAUUUCACUCUUGCAUUCUUGACAACAAGUCAACAACCAAUGUCCUCCCUAGCAUAAUUUUGAGGUCCAGUUGGUCAAUAUAACCAGUACCAAAUUAUUAACAAUUUAAAAUAGUUGGUUUAAUUUUCUUAGUCAUUUGUACAUUUAAUGUUAAACUUAGAUCAGUACAUAAAUUAAUUAAAAUUUUCCAUAAAAAAUUUCUUCACACUGAAGAUAUAAUAAUCUGCAUAUAAAAAACAAGAAAAAAAUAAAUGAGAUGAAUUCAUAUA